UGGUGAGUAACACGGACCCCACCACAGCGGGCCCGGACCCGGCAGCGUACGGGAAGGUCUUGUCGUGAGCGUGUGCGAUGAUGGACAGAACCCCCGCGUAGGCCUCCUCGCAGGCCGGCUGGAUCUGCUCCUCUGGCAGCAGCUCAAAGGUGUAGGAGAACGGGACGCCAACGAGACGAGCCCAGUCGCGGCUGGAGCCGGAGUUUGGAUCUGAAGUGUAGUCCAUUCCGUGCACCUUCUUCAUUUCUGAUGCGGCUGCCUCACCGACUGAACCUGCACGAAGGAAAAAACACGAAAAAACAAAACCAGGCAGCCGGGAUCUCCGUCACCAGACGACGUCACCGGGUUAGAGGAGGUGAAAAGAACGCAGACACACACCAGCUCAGCGUAGUUGGGCGCAGAGAUCUCAGGGUGGCCGUAAGGCAAGAGGACGAGCUGCCCAGCGGAGUGGAUGGUGAGGAAACACACAGUGCGGUUCACCAUCCCACCUAGAGAGGGAGGACAAACAUGUGAUCUGUGUCAAGUGGACGUCACGCCGUUGAUGAGGAGCCUCAAUAAUGACCUCUAAGUUCAGUUAUCCAUUCAUGUAAAUGAACACGGAUCAAACCCAUACAAUGUUGAUAAAUAGUUUUAAAUAAAAAUGGUUACCAACAAAGUCCAUCACAGCUUGAGCCUCUGGUUCUGAGCCUGCUGAUUUCCCGCAGUAGUUGUUAGCACAACUGUCAAACGACACCCCGACCGCUGAGGAA
ensembl:lncRNA